UGGGUGGUGUGGUGGCAUUCCCUGUUGUAGUGUUUCCUGGUGUAUUAGAGGUAGUGUAGUAGCAUUUACUGGAGUAGUGAUGGGUGGUGUGGUAGCAUUUACUGUUGCAUUGUUCCCUGGUGUAGUUGGAGGUGGUGCAGUAGCAUUUACUGG